GCCGCGGUGGCGGAAUGGCAGACGCGUAGGUCUCAAAAACCUAUUUCCAUUAAGGAAGUGUGGGUUCGACUCCCACCCGCGGCA
rnacentral:tRNA from 1 species